rnacentral:lncRNA from 1 species
CUUUUGGAAAUGAUUUGAAGAGGUGCGUCCGGAACGAGGGAAACUUACGACUUUUGCUAACGAUCGCGGCGUGCUGUGUAUCUCCUGUGCCAGUUCUGUCUCCCCAAGACCCCACCCCAAGAUGGGCCCCAUGGCCCACGUACCCGGCCCCCAGUUUCAGUAGGACGUGUCCUUAUCCCUGAGGUCCUCCAGAAAGGAACCCAACCCCAAUGGCCCGUGCUUCACACGCUCCUCCCCGCGCCGGUGGAGUAGGGGGCAGGAGAGACCUGCUGCCUCUGGCGCCAACCUUUCCAUUCAGUGCGUCUUUCCUGCCUAGCCCACGUUCCCGGGCCGGAGCUGACACGGGGGUGGGAGGAGCCGAGUGCUUGCUCGUCUUGGGCAGAGGCGAAAGCUUCUUAAGGUGGAACAGGAAUGUUGGGCUGCUGGGCCUCUACCGCUGGGAUGUGCCGGCCCCUGCUUCCCAACCUCGCCUCCCAGUUUUUCAUCUCUUGUUCCCUGGCUCCAGUCUAAUUUUUAGGGGAGUGGAAAUCAAACAGGCUGGGAAGAGGAUAGAAAAAUAACGUAGAAAAGCUGGGCGCGGUGGCUCACGCCUGUAAUCCCAGCACUUUGGGAGGCCAAGACGGGCGGAUCACGAGGUCAGGAGAUCGAGACCACCCUGGCUAACACGGUGAAAACCCGUCUCUACUAAAAAUACAAAAAAUUAGCCGGGCGUGGUGGCAGGCGCCUGUAGUCCCAGC